UCUCAAUUUCAGUAAGGUGCUUUGUCUGU
rnacentral:piRNA from 1 species